rnacentral:lncRNA from 1 species
UAACUUUGAAUCAAAAUAGUGAUAUACAUUGCCAACUCGUACUGGCAUUACUCCUUAAAAAUUUACAUACAAUGUCUACAACAUGUAUUCUAAUAAUUUACAUUAAGUUCGUCUAUACAAAACAAAAUAACACUCGACUUCCAGCGGAGUGACUCGGAUGAAUAUACAGCUACCGAAUGCCGAGACACCUACCAAAAGAUGGACACAGGUCUACAAGGACACCUCGUCCUAGUU